rnacentral:rRNA from 1 species
GACGAAGGAUCCAAGCGUUAUCCGGAUUUAUUGGGUUUAAAGGGUGCGUAGGCGGACUUGUAAGUCAGUGGUGAAAGCCCGAUGCUUAACAUCGGAACUGCCAUUGAUACUGCAAGUCUUGAAUAUGUUUGAAGUGGGCGGAAUGUGUCGUGUAGUGGUGAAAUGCUUAGAUAUGACACAGAACACCGAUUGCGAAGGCAGCUCACUAAACCAUUAUUGACGCUGAGGCACGAAAGCGUGGGGAGCAAACAGG